rnacentral:lncRNA from 1 species
CGAGGACACCCAUCAGCAUCAUAGCUUGGACGCCCAUUACAGCCCACCACGAGACGCUGGGCAAGCUGCCAAAAAAGAGACGCUGCUGUGCCAGUUUGUGAUAUGAUCCGCUAUUCGAAGCUACCCUGUCGUCGAUUUCCCAACUGGCUGGUUGCACGGGCUAACAGAACCAUCGCCAAUGCACUCGAUUUCGGCGUCAAACACGACGUCUACGGUUGCACGCACGGCUCUCCUCGCAGGUUAUUUGUCUUUUACUGUAGAAAUGGAGUCUCAGCUAUUACUAAAACGACGUAUGUGGGUUCGUGUGUGGUUGCAAAGAAGAAAUAGUAAGAGUGUGUAUCAUAAUCGGCAGCAAGAACUUCGUUUGGUGGAUAGGACUAGGCAAGCUCCUUUGAGAAACUUGGAAGACCCGCACAUGUAAACAAUGAUGACGUCACGAAUACUCCAGUGAGUUUCCCUUUCAAGAUAAGCAUACCUGCAAAGUAUAGGGAUAGAAAAUGCAAUACCUACUUAAAAAAAAAUAAUUAAAUGAUAUAUAUAUA